AUACGUAGGUGACAAGCGUUAUCCGGAUUUACUGGGCGUAAAGGGCGUGUAGGCGGUCUUGCAAGUCAGAAGUGAAAUUCCUGAGCUCAACUCGGGCGCUGCUUCUGAAACUGCAGGACUUGAGUGCUGGAGGGGAUAGCGGAAUUCCUAGUGGAGCGGUAAAAUGCGCAGAUAUUAGGAGGAACACCGGUGGCGAAGGCGGCUUUCUGGACAGUAACGGACGCUGAGGCGCGAAAGCGUGGGGAGCAAACAGGAUUAGAUACCCUGGUAUUCCACGCCAUAAACGAUGAAUACUAGGUGUAGGGGGUAUCGACCCCCUCUGUGCCGACGUUAACACAUUAAGUAUUCCACCUGGGGAGUACGGCCGCAAGGCUGAAACUCAAAGGAAUUGACGGGG
rnacentral:rRNA from 1 species